GAUGAACGCUGGCGGCGUGCCUAAUACAUGCAAGUCGAACGCUGGAGAUCUAGCUUGCUAGAUCGAAGGAGUGGCGAACGGGUGAGUAAUACAUAAGCAACCUACCCACGAAGACUGGGAUAAUCUCUGGAAACGGGGACUAAUACCGGAUAGGUAAUCGGAAGGCAUCUUCUGGUUAUUAAAGGUUAAAAACACUGGUGGAUGGGCUUAUGGCGCAUUAGUUAGUUGGUGAGGUAACGGCCCACCAAGACGAUGAUGCGUAGCCGGCCUGAGAGGGUGAACGGCCACAUUGGGACUGAGACACGGCCCAGACUCCUACGGGAGGCAGCAGUAGGGAAUUUUCGGCAAUGGGGCCAACCCUGACCGAGCAACGCCGCGUGAGUGAAGACGGCCUUCGGGUUGUAAAGCUCUGUUGUAAGGGAAGAACGGUAGAUAGAGAAUAUCUAAGUGACGGUACCUUACCAGAAAGCCACGGCUAACUACGUG
rnacentral:rRNA from 1 species